rnacentral:rRNA from 1 species
ACAGUGGCGAACGGGUGAGUAACACGUUGGUGACCUGCCCCGAGGUGGGGAAUAACUGUGGGAAACCACGGCUAAUACCCCGGAUGUUAAAGAGUUUAGACAUCUUUAACUAAAGUUCCGGCGCCUCGGGAGGGGCCUGCGGGCUAUCAGCUUGUUGGUGGGGUAACGGCCUACCAAGGCUAAGACGGCUAGGGGGCGUGAGAGCGCGACCCCCCACAAUGGAACUGAGAAACGGUCCAUACUCCUACGGGAGGCAGCAGUGAGGAAUAUUGCACAAUGGGGGAAACCCUGAUGCAGCAACGCCGCGUGAACGAUGAAGGCCUUCGGGUUGUAAAGUUCUUUUCUGGGGGACGAUAGUGACGGUACCUCAGGAAUAAGUCCCGGCUAACUACGUGCCAGCAGCCGCGGUAAAACGUAGGGGGCGAGCGUUAUCCGGAUUUAUUGGGCGUAAAGCGCAAGUAGGCAGCGUUGUAAGUUGGACGUGAAAGCUCCCGGCUCAACUGGGAGAGGUCGUUCAAAACUACAGUGCUCGAGGUUGGAAGAGGAGAGUAGAAUUCCCGGUGUAGUGGUGGAAUGCGUAGAUAUCGGGAGGAAUACCAGUGGCGAAAGCGACUCUCUGGUCCACACCUGACGCUGAGGUGCGAAAGCGUGGGUAGCGAACGGGAUUAGAUACCCCGGUAGUCCACGCCGUAAACGAUGGAUACUAGGUGUAGGGGGUCACUGAAUCCCUCUGUGCCGUAGCAAACGCGUUAAGUAUCCCGCCUGGGGACUACGGCCGCAAGGUUAAAACUCAAAGGAAUUGACGGGGGCCCGCACAAGCAGCGGAGCGUGUGGUUUAAUUCGAUGAUACGCGAAGAACCUUACCUGGGCUGAACUACGUGGUAGUAGAAAAGCGAAAGCGGAUCGACCCUUCGGGGAGCCUCGAUAGGUGCUGCAUGGCUGUCGUCAGCUCGUGUCGUGAGAUGUUGGGUUAAGUCCCGCAACGAGCGCAACCCUUGUCGUUAGUUAUACGUGUCUAGCGAGACUGCCGGUAUCAAACCGGAGGAAGGUGGGGAUGACGUCAAGUCAGCAUGGUCUUUAUGUCCAGGGCUACACACACGCUAC